UCAGAUCUAAGUGUCUAGAGGUCGGGAGAACCAAGUGGGAAAGACCCACCCUCACCCCUCACCCUGUAGAAACUGGGAACACUAGAAGGGACAUUUUCUGAGCAGGAAACCCAAGAGCAAGGAGAAGCAGCAUUGUGGUUUCAGGAGAUGGGUCCAUUUGGAGCAGGAUCCUAAGUGGGGCUUGGCAUUGGGAAUUUGGAUUAGCUCUAGAGGACGCAGGAUCUGGAAAAUCAGGGCAGAUUUCCCAUCCCUUGGAUAUGGUGGGGAGUUGAGGAGGGCAAGGAAGAUCCCAGAAAAGCCAGUGGCAGCAAAACACAAAGGCCAGGGACCUACGUACUGGUAAAACUGAGACCUCCAAGAAACCUGCAGCUCGACCUGGUUGAAUUCAGG
rnacentral:lncRNA from 1 species